ACCGGGCCAGCCCAAGAUCGACCACCUGCGGAGGCUGCACCUGGGAGCCUACCCCACGGAGGAGUGCAAGGCCUGCACCAGGUGCGGCUGCGUCACCAUGCUCAGGUCACCCAAUAAGACGACAGCUGUCAAACAGUGGGAGCAGCGCUGGAUUAAGAACUGCCUGUGUGGUGGUCUGUGGCGGCGGGUGCCCCUCAGCUACCCCUGACCAGGGCCCUCGCUGGUGACACGGCAUUCCACACACUCCAGACCUUCAUUGGGUGCUUUGCAAAAUAGGCGUCCUGGAAGUUGGCUUUCCGGGCCCCAUCACUGGACGGGGCAGGGGAGGACGUGGCCUGAAGCCUCACGUUGGUGCCCCGCGGCCCCGUCGGGACUGCUUUCUCUCCCUCGAAGCCUUAUGGUGGAUCCGGGGUGGAGGGGCCCAGCCACCUGUCCACCUGUGCCAGGUGGUGACCGAGACAGGCCUGUGGAUCUCACGGGUUCAGGACCACAGCACGCGUGGUGCCCUCCCUGAACGCCCAGGCCUCAGUGGCCCCUCUGGGUGCCCCAGAUCCUGGCUCCGAGGGUCCGGGAUGCCCCGGGCCUCCGUUCUUCAGAAUGUGCCACGCAAACCUGUGAGCCGCCGGGACACCUGCUUCCGUCUCCUCACCUGCUCCUGCCAGCGCAUCUGGGUGGUUCUGACCUCAGCAGGCCCAAUAAACGUCCUGCCGGUCACAGGUGUCAA